GGACGAACGCUGGCGGCGUGCUUAACCCAUGCAAGUCGAACGGAAAGGCCCUGCUUUUGUGGAGUGCUCGAGUGGCGAACGGGUGAGUAACACGUGAGUAACCUGCCCUUGACUUUGGGAUAACUUCAGGAAACUGGGGCUAAUACCGGAUAGGAGCUCCUGCUGCAUGGUGGGGGUUGGAAAGUUUCGGCGGUUGGGGAUGGACUCGCGGCUUAUCAGCUUGUUGGUGGGGUAGUGGCUUACCAAGGCUUUGACGGGUAGCCGGCCUGAGAGGGUGACCGGCCACAUUGGGACUGAGAUACGGCCCAGACUCCUACGGGAGGCAGCAGUGGGGAAUAUUGCACAAUGGGCGGAAGCCUGAUGCAGCAACGCCGCGUGCGGGAUGACGGCCUUCGGGUUGUAAACCGCUUUCGCCUGUGACGAAGCGUGAGUGACGGUAAUGGGUAAAGAAGCACCGGCUAACUACGUG
rnacentral:rRNA from 1 species